UCUGGCCUCAAAUCAGGUAGACUACCCUCUGAUCUACGCUUCUAUAUGCGGAAAGAA
rnacentral:rRNA from 1 species